AGUCUGCAACCCUGGAUUUACUCAUUGUUGUUCGUACUGUGGGUGGGAAAGGUUUGCAGAGAGAAGUUUAGAGGAAGCCGAGGCAAUGCUGUACCAAGCAGCUACAGUUUCAUGUGCAAUGUUCCUCUGACAUCUUUAUCCUGCUGUUUGGCAGAAGAUGGCUUGUCUGUACCAUUUACCUGUCUGUAAGCAAGAAGAGAAAUACUGCAGUUUGAUACAUACUUGGUAUUGCCAGUGUUAAUACCUGGUACUGAAAGCUGCUACAAUG